UUUAUAAGCCAUAUAUCUGAAAUAUGUGCAUUGGAGAACUUUUUUCUAAUACAAAUAUUUACAGAGGCAUUGGGAGUGUACAUCUCGACCACGAGUACAACGACCACCUACCACACCAAAUGAGUUAUUUGAGAUAAUCCCAUCAACGAUAGUACUCAAAGAGUGACGAAUACGAGAUGAGCAACUGGAACUAGGGGUGGUAGCAGCAAGAGCAGGGGUUUCAAUAUCUGAAUGUCUUGGAGCAGUUGGGAACGCAAUAUCUGAAUGUCUUGGAGCAGUUGGGAACGGCCGAAUGGCCAUAUCAAGUUGACAAACUCUAAAUUUUAGGACAUCUAGUUGAAAAGGCGACGUGAGUUUAUUUGUUUAAAUAAUGCAAAUUGUAAUUAUGUUGUCUGCUUGCAUGUUUUAGUAAGUAACCUACUUAAAAGAUAAAAGUCAAAAGAUCAAUGGUCACAAAAAAAGUGAGAUCAAUUUCAAUAAUAUUAUUGUAAG